rnacentral:lncRNA from 1 species
UUGAUUUUUUCCCCAGGCAAACUAAGAUGUGAAAUUUAAUAAUCCCUUCUGACAAUCUUAUAAAAAUGGACUGCCAUGCUUAAUUGAUGACAGGUCUCUUCAUCUGCCACCACCAGGCAUUCUCUUUGCCUCUGCGAGGGAGAGGAGUUCCUAACACCUGCUCAGCCCACACAGCACCACCAUGACCAGCUCCACCUGACUGCUGUGAAAGGCCCCUUUGAGCAGCUCCAAGAUCAGGUGCAGGAAGACCCUUGAUAAUACACAUGUGCACCAGAGACCCUCUAGGUCAGAUGCUGGCACUCUAGAAGGAAGCGUCCUCAAAUUCCUGCUCUGGCUCUCAUGCUGAAGUCUCUGGGAACGCCUUUAUGGGACCUUAGGUACGUUGGCACUGCCUUCUAAACUUAUGUUGUUUCAGUCUGCAUCUCAUGCAUUCCCUAACCCCCAGAAACUAUGAUAUUGUGUUUU